GUUUCUACGGGACGCAGCAGUGGGGAAUAUUGGGCAAUGGGCGCAAGCCUGACCCAGCAACGCCGCGUGAAGGAAGAAGGCUUUCGGGUUGUAAACUUCUUUUCUGAGGGACGAAGAAAGUGACGGUACCUCAGGAAUAAGCCACGGCUAACUACGUGCCAGCAGCCGCGGUAAUACGUAGGUGGCAAGCGUUAUCCGGAUUUAUUGGGUGUAAAGGGCGUGUAGGCGGGAAUGCAAGUCAGAUGUGAAAACUAUGGGCUCAACCCAUAGCCUGUAUUUUAAACUGACUUUCUU
rnacentral:rRNA from 1 species